rnacentral:miRNA from 1 species
GGGAGUGAGGAUGAGAUGGAGAGAGAGGAUGAGAGGGGAGGAUGGGAGGGAGAAGUAACAAAAGUGAAAACAAUUUCAAAUAGAUUUCGGUUUUUUUGUUCUUGUUUUCACUUUUGUUACUCCUCCCUCACAGCCUCCUCUCUCAUCUUCCCUCUCAAUCCCAUCUCCACUCUCA